UUGGUUAAGUUAGAAAGGGCGCACGGUGGAUGCCUUGGCACUAGGAGCCGAAGAAGGACGGGACUAACACCGAUAUGCUUUGGGGAGCUGUACGUAAGCGUUGAUCCAGAGAUUUCCGAAUGGGGGAACCCACUAUCUUUAGUCGGAUAGUAUCCUUACGUGAAUACAUAGCGUGAGGAAGGCAGACCCAGGGAACUGAAACAUCUAAGUACCUGGAGGAAGAGAAAGAAAAAUCGAUUUCCUGAGUAGCGGCGAGCGAAACGGAAAGAGCCCAAACCAAGAAGCUUGCUUCUUGGGGUUGUAGGACACUCUAUACGGAGUUACAAAAGAAAGUUAUAAAUGAAGCGGUCUGGAAAGGCCCGCCAAAGACGGUAACAGCCCGGUAGUUGAAAUGGCUUUCCCUCCAGAGUGGAUCCUGAGUACGGCGGAACACGUGAAAUUCCGUCGGAAUCCGGGAGGACCAUCUCCCAAGGCUAAAUACUCCCUAGUGACCGAUAGUGAACCAGUACCGUGAGGGAAAGGUGAAAAGCACCCCGGAAGGGGAGUGAAACAGUUCCUGAAACCGUGUGCCUACAAGUAGUUAGAGCCCGUUAAUGGGUGAUAGCGUGCCUUUUGUAGAAUGAACCGGCGAGUUACGAUUUGUUGCAAGGUUAAGCGGAAAAAGCGGAGCCGUAGCGAAAGCGAGUCUGAAUAGGGCGCAUAAGUAACAGGUCGUAGACCCGAAACCAGGUGAUCUACCCAUGUCCAGGAUGAAGGUAAGGUAAUACUUACUGGAGGUCCGAACCCACGCACGUUGAAAAGUGCGGGGAUGAGGUGUGGGUAGCGGAGAAAUUCCAAUCGAACUUGGAGAUAGCUGGUUCUCUCCGAAAUAGCUUUAGGGCUAGCCUCGAGGUAAAGAGUCAUGGAGGUAGAGCACUGUUUGGACUAGGGGCCCUUCUCGGGUUACCGAAUUCAGAUAAACUCCGAAUGCCAUGUACUUAUACUCGGGAGUCAGACUGCGAGUGAUAAGAUCCGUAGUCGAAAGGGAAACAGCCCAGACCACCAGUUAAGGUCCCCAAAUAUAUGUUAAGUGGAAAAGGAUGUGGGGUUGCUUAGACAACCAGGAUGUUGGCUUAGAAGCAGCCACCAUUGAAAGAGUGCGUAAUAGCUCACUGGUCGAGUGACCCCGCGCCGAAAAUGUACCGGGGCUAAACAUAUUACCGAAACUGUGGAUGAACCUCUUUAGAGGUUCGUGGUAGGAGAGCGUUCUAAGGGCGGUGAAGUCAGACCGGAAGGACUGGUGGAGCGCUUAGAAGUGAGAAUGCCGGUAUGAGUAGCGAAAGAAGGGUGAGAAUCCCUUCCACCGAAUAUCUAAGGUUUCCUGAGGAAGGCUCGUCCGCUCAGGGUUAGUCGGGACCUAAGCCGAGGCCGAUAGGCGUAGGCGAUGGACAACAGGUAGAGAUUCCUGUACCAGUGCUAAUUGUUUAACCGAUGGGGUGACACAGAAGGAUAGGGAAUCGCACGAAUGGAAAUGUGCGUCCAAGCAGUGAGUGUGAGAAGUAGGCAAAUCCGCUUCUCGCGAAGCAUGAGCUGUGAUGGGGAAGGAAAUUAAGUACGGAAGUUCCUGAUUUCACGCUGUCAAGAAAAGCCUCUAGGAAGAGUAGUACUGCCCGUACCGCAAACCGACACAGGUAGAUGAGGAGAGAAUCCUAAGGUGAGCGAGAGAACUCUCGUUAAGGAACUCGGCAAAAUGACCCCGUAACUUCGGGAGAAGGGGUGCUCUAUUAGGGUGCAAGCCCGAGAGAGCCGCAGUGAAUAGGCCCAGGCGACUGUUUAGCAAAAACACAGGUCUCUGCAAAACCGUAAGGUGACGUAUAGGGGCUGACGCCUGCCCGGUGCUGGAAGGUUAAGAGGAGUGCUUAGCUUCGGCGAAGGUACGAAUUGAAGCCCCAGUAAACGGCGGCCGUAACUAUAACGGUCCUAAGGUAGCGAAAUUCCUUGUCGGGUAAGUUCCGACCCGCACGAAAGGCGCAACGAUCUGGGCACUGUCUCAACGAGAGACUCGGUGAAAUUAUAGUACCUGUGAAGAUGCAGGUUACCCGCGACAGGACGGAAAGACCCCGUGGAGCUUUACUGCAACCUGAUAUGGAAUGUUUGUACCGCUUGUACAGGAUAGGUAGGAGCCGAAGAGACGUGUGCGCUAGCAUACGAGGAGGCAAUGGUGGGAUACUACCC
rnacentral:rRNA from 1 species